rnacentral:rRNA from 1 species
CAGCCGCCGCGGGAAUACGAAGGGGGCUAGCGUUGUUCGGAUUAACUGGGCGUAAAGGGCGCGUAGGCGGGCUGAUAAGUCAGGGGUGAAAUCCCAAGGCUCAACCUUGGAACUGCCUUUGAUACUGUCGGCCUUGAGUCCGGGAGAGGUGAGUGGAACUGCGAGUGUAGAGGUGAAAUUCGUAGAUAUUCGGAAGAACACCAGUGGCGAAGGCGGCUCACUGGCUCAUACUGGACGCUGAGGUGCGAAAGCGUGGGGAGCAAACAGGAUUAGAUACCCCAGUAGUCCCUGUCUCUUAUAC